AUUGAACGCUGGCGGCAUGCCUUACACAUGCAAGUCGAACGGCAGCACGGGAGCAAUCCUGGUGGCGAGUGGCGAACGGGUGAGUAAUAUAUCGGAACGUGCCCAGUAGUGGGGGAUAACUGCUCGAAAGAGCAGCUAAUACCGCAUACGACCUGAGGGUGAAAGGGGGGGAUCGCAAGACCUCUCGCUAUUGGAGCGGCCGAUAUCAGAUUAGCUAGUUGGUGGGGUAAAGGCCUACCAAGGCAACGAUCUGUAGUUGGUCUGAGAGGACGACCAGCCACACUGGGACUGAGACACGGCCCAGACUCCUACGGGAGGCAGCAGUGGGGAAUUUUGGACAAUGGGCGCAAGCCUGAUCCAGCAAUGCCGCGUGCAGGAAGAAGGCC
rnacentral:rRNA from 1 species